UCCUUGGUGGCUUAGUGGUUAGAGUAUCGGACUAGAUACUCGGAGGUUGCGGGUUCGAGUCCCGCUCGAGGAG